AGAGAUGGGGAUUCACCAUGUUGGCCAGGCUAGUCUUAAACUCCUGAUCUCAGGUGAUCCACCCGCCUCGGCCUCCCAAAGUGCUGGGAUUAUAGGCGUGAGCUACCGCACCCGCCACCUCUUCUAGUUUUAAACCCUCUCCCUCCAACCUCAUUUAUUUAAGCAAGGGUCAGAGCAUCUUGCUCCCUUUGCUCAUGGUUUCCCCUGCAACGGUGCACUGGAGUUCAUAGGAGCCAGUUACCUGGUAGAUGGCGAGGCUGCCAAUGUCCCAUCUCUCCAGGGCCUCCCCCAUCUUUGUCGAGCUUCCCUUUUUCCACAUUUUGCCCUUGCUAGGUAGUAGGAGUCUAGCCCCUAGGUCAAUGCAAGUAAUUGCCAAGUGAGAGUACAUGGAGCAGGUGGCUGUGAAUAGCCCUUCCAGGCUGUGGAUGCAAGGCUGAAAAAUGGGAAACCCACUCGUGCCCAGUCCAAUUCUGACCUGGCUGGGGCAGCCUUGGGUCGAGACCUCUCUGUAGCCCUGCUUUCCACCAGCAUCAGGAAGGGGAACUGCAAGAACCAUCUAGGCAGGCACCCAGGACUGUGCCAGGGAAGACCUGGGAUUAAGUCCUGUCCCGUCAACCUCAAGAUAUGGAACCUCAUGGAAGGGAGGGAGGCAAUGCCGAGGAUGUGCUCCUGAGCAGGUGCCACGAUUCUUCACCUGUCAGGCUGAUCUAAGAAGAUUCCUAAUUAUCAACUGGGAGCAGAAAUAUUCCACUUCCAAUUACAUGGCCCUGCCUGCUCACUCUUACUUCCUAUUCACACUCUCUUGGAGGCCACUUUGUGAUUCUACCAAAUCCUAUAGGAGAGGUGACAACCCCAAAGAGAAGGCUCUAGAAAGAUGGCAUUUGGAAAUCUGUAAGUUAGUGUCUGCUGGCUCCUCCUGAGCCACUUCUACUCUGUGAUUGAGAGGAAAGGCCACCUAACUGCCUAAAUCACCACACAGGGACAAACUGGUAUCUCAGAGCACUCAGCAGCAAAAACAAGUAAGCUAAGCCUCUGCACUGCAAUGUGGCAGGGCUUCUGGCUAGGUAUAGCAAGCAAUUCUGAUGUGGAGACAAACAGCAGCAACGGGAAUGAAAUGCCAAUGAAGGAUUCCAACCAUUGGGUCUGCAAGCAUGCUUGUCCUGUGAUACAAACAGCCUAGACAUCUCAGCACUGCUUGGAGCUGCUCAUUGGGGGAGCCUAAGAAACAUCAGCCCCUUCACAAACCCCUGCUCCUGAGCAGAGCUCAUCUCCCAAGAGCAAAUCAGCCUGCAGCCCAGUCGGAUGAGAAGCACAGUGUUCCCCUGUGCCAGUGGCAGCCUCAGAGCAUCCUGAAAGAGCGCUUCCUAGACACGCAGUGGAAGCCAUGACUUCCCCUAAGCUGCCAGUGCUGCUUCUGAACUCACGUGGAGGUUCUUUUUUCAGUGUCCCCAGAGGCAGUAGAAAAAUCCAUUUUCCAUUUUGAAAUCUAUGAAGUAGGACAAAUCUGCCACCUGGGAGCAUCUCCUCAAGGGCAAUCUCUACUCCCUUUCCCACAUAGCCUGACAAUACUCUCGAGUUAGAAAUAUCCCUUGUUGGCUAGGCACAGUGGCUCAUGCCUGUAAUCCCAGCACUUUGGGAGGCUGAGGUCGGAGGAUUACUUGAGGCCAGGAGUUUGAGACCAGCCUGGCAUAGAGAGACUAUGCCUGUAUUAUUUUUUAAAAAGAAAUGUCCCAUAUUUUUACCCUCUUCACUCAUCUUUCCACCUUGUUCCAAUAGAUUGCUGACAGAAAAGUGAGAUCUCCUCCACCCUGAGGUCUCCUAAGAGAAUGCUGCUAGCCAAAAAAAGAUCUGCUGAUUAUUAAGGAAGAGCAUCUUUAAAAAGACACUCAACUACAUUUCAGAAAGAUAAAGAUCUAAGUGUUGGCUCUAUGAGGGAAGAAAUAAAGAGAAAGAACUUUUUUUCCUCCUACAACGGGUCUAGACAAUGUCAUACAAGGAGUUGCAAGCAUAUCCAAAACAAAAGCAAGGCAAAAACAAACAAGCAAAAAAGCAACAAAUGCAUUCCAAAAUUAUCUCCAUUUCUCAGCCCAGAUAUGUACUGGAUACUGGUUUAGUUCAGCCUGUAGGUGGUGGGAAGAAAUUCACAAAUCCAAGUCAGUUGCCAAAAGGGAAUACUCCAGACAUAUCACCCAAUGAACCUGUAAGAAAGUAUAAGAGCUUCUCUGAACAGAUUUUACUCCAGGUUUGCAGCCCACAAGGUUUAAGAUUGGGCCAUGAGGUUAAAUCUGGUAAACUCAGAAAUGUUCACGCUACUGUAUCCCUAAACUUUGUAAUUCUCUACAUACCCUUUAAAGCAGUGUUUCUCUGCAUCUUUUAUUCCAUAGCCAUUGUCCACCUGAUCCAAAAUAUCCUAAAUUUUUCUAUGUUUGGAAGCAGGGUUUCUAAUUUUAUAUAUACAGAAAAGGGGUGUGUGUGAAAAAAAUAAGUAUUAGAAAAAGAACAUGUUACAUAUAUAUCACAGAAAUGAAUGGGCAAGAUUUAGAAGAUUGCUGAAACAAAGCCAAUACUAAGGUCUACUGGUUGGCUGCAACAAGUUUAAAAUGUCUUCAGAAGGGCCCUGGUUGGGCAAUACUAUACUUGCUGACAGUAAGCUUGGGAACUGACACAGACCUAUAGCAAAGGACUGUCCAACUUCUCCAAAAAGCUGGUAUCAACCACCAGAAGAAAUAAGAAGUUCAAGGCCAAAAUAUCCUGAUGAACCAACCACUCUACUUGCUGAAAUGCCAUAAAGCUUCUUUACCCCAGA